rnacentral:rRNA from 2 species
UCUGGUGAUUUAACGCAGUGGACACACCUCUUCCCAUUCCGAACAGAGAAGUUAAGCACUGUAGUGGCGAUGGUACCUCGCCUAAAUUUUUUGAGUACGAGCAGAGAAUCUUGAGCUAGUUGUUGCGC